AGGGUUUGAUCAUGGCUCAGGACGAACGCUGGCGGCGUGCUUAACACAUGCAAGUCGAGCGGUAAGGCCCCUUCGGGGGUACACGAGCAGCGAACGGGUGAGUAACACGUGAGCAACCUACCCUCAACUUUGGGAUAAGCCUCGGAAACGGGGUCUAAUACCGGAUAAUAUCGGCUGCCUCAUGGUGGUUGGUUGAAAGUUCUGGCGGUUGGGGAUGGGCUCGCGGCCUAUCAGCUUGUUGGUGGGGUAAUGGCCUACCAAGGCGUCGACGGGUAGCCGGCCUGAGAGGGCGACCGGCCACACUGGGACUGAGACACGGCCCAGACUCCUACGGGAGGCAGCAGUGGGGAAUAUUGCGCAAUGGACGAAAGUCUGACGCAGCAACGCCGCGUGAGGGAUGACGGCCUUCGGGUUGUAAACCUCUUUCAGCAGGGACGAAGCGAGAGUGACGGUACCUGCAGAAGAAGGACCGGCCAACUACGUGCCAGCAGCCGCGGUAAUACGUAGGGUCCGAGCGUUGUCCGGAAUUAUUGGGCGUAAAGGGCUCGUAGGCGGUUCGUCACGUCGGGAGUGAAAACUCGGGGCUUAACCCCGAGCCUGCUUCCGAUACGGGCAGACUAGAGGUAGGCAGGGGAGAGCGGAACUCCUGGUGUAGCGGUGGAAUGCGCAGAUAUCAGGAAGAACACCGGUGGCGAAGGCGGCUCUCUGGGCCUUACCUGACGCUGAGGAGCGAAAGCGUGGGUAGCGAACAGGAUUAGAUACCCUGGUAGUCCACGCCGUAAACGUUGGGCGCUAGGUGUGGGGGACAUUCCACGUCCUCCGU
rnacentral:rRNA from 1 species